rnacentral:tRNA from 1 species
GGUUCCGUAGUGAAGUGGUUAUCACGUUCGCUUCACACGCGAAAGGUCUCCCGUUCGGUCCCGGACGAAACUA